rnacentral:rRNA from 1 species
UACAGAGGGUGCAAGCGUUAAUCGGAAUUACUGGGCGUAAAGCGUGCGUAGUCGGUCAUUUAAGUCGGGUGUGAAAUCCCCGGGCUCAACCUGGGAAUUGCAUUCGAUACUGGAUGGCUAGAGUUCGGCAGAGGGAAGCGGAAUUCCGGUGUAGCGGUGAAAUGCGUAGAUAUCGGAAGAACAUCAGUGGCGAAGGCGGCUCACUGGCCCGGUACUGACGCUGAGGUGCGAAAGCGUGGGAGCAACAGGG